rnacentral:rRNA from 1 species
UACGUAGGGCGCAAGCGUUGUCCGGAAUUAUUGGGCGUAAAGAGCUCGUAGGCGGCCUGUUACGUCUGCUGUGAAAUCCCGGGGCUUAACCCCGGGCGUGCAGUGGAUACGGGCAGGCUGGAGGCAGGCAGGGGAGAACGGAAUUCCCGGUGUAGCGGUGAAAUGCGCAGAUAUCAGGAGGAACACCGGUGGCGAAGGCGGUUCUCUGGGCAUUACCUGACGCUGAGGAGCGAAAGUGUGGGGAGCGAACAGG